CCUAGAAGAUAACCUAAAAGCAAGCCAUCGCACCCAGCAAGCCGUCGCACUAAGUUCAUCACUGCCCAUCGCCAAGGCCGUUGCACCACACAGCUCGCCGUCAUGUUCAUCUAACCCUCACACCCAGCCCUUCAUCUAACCCUCACACCCAUCCCUCUCUCUGUCGCACCCAACCCCGCGCCAUCAACGAUCUCUCGCACCCAACCCUCGCACCAUCGACACAACCCUCGUUAGAUUCGGAACCCUCCAUCGGCGCUGCUCCGUCCACGCACUCAGUGGUCUCUGUCUCGGCGUGCCCUCCUACUCCCUCAGUGGUCUCUGUCUCGCAAACCCUCGUUGGAUUCGGAACCUCAAUCGUUGCUCACUCUAUUUCGCAAACCCUCAAUCGCCGAUCCUCCCUCCGUGGUUCAGCACCCGUCGCGUUGCCGUCUCCCUCUCUGAAAUCGUCGCGUCGCCGUCUCCCUCUCCCUCACUCGUCGCACCUUCGUCAGCCAUGUUCAACAUUCGCAGUGCCGUGCUGUGGUAGUGCUCAGCUACUGAUAUGUGGUGCUCAUUCUUUGAGUUUAUUCUUUGCUGAAUCUCGUUUGGCAGAGAAUACUUCUAGAUUUUUUGCAAGGUGACAAAUUUAGAGCAGCAACAGAUAAUUACAUUAGGCCUCUCCUAACUAAGUUCCAUCUCUUUUCUCUGAUCUUUCGUCUUUGUAUAAUCAGCCUGGGAAGGCAGACAUUUUGGAACAACUUAUUCUUGUAUUUUUUUUCACAGCGCUCUUCAAGCUAAGAGGUAAUUUGUAAAGGAGGAAUUCAAGAAAUUAUUGUAGCAUUUAUACUGAGCAUCGCAUUUACUAAAAUAAAUAAAUAUGUCAAAGGGAUUUGAGAUUCAUCAAGAGAAUAAUGAAGGAAAUGGCGGCAAGAGUAGUAAUGAUAAUGAGGGUGAGGAAAAUUCAUUUGACAUAAAUGAAGGAGCGGCUAUGAGUGAUGAUGAGGAAUUAGAAGAAGAGAAUAAUAAUGAAGCAAAGGAGGAGGAGGUUCUUCUGUCUUGUGUCUAUCCUCUGAGUAUGCUACUGUUGUAGGUUCCUUAUCUAGGCAACUUUCUGUGCAAAGCAGUUUUGCUGAAGCUGCUGCAAUGACAGUAAGUUUUGGACAUUCAUGGACCAGUUCUAGCUUUAGUUCUUGAGAAGUUGAAACCAUAUGGAGGCCUUCAAGAAUCAUUCGAAUCUGCUAAGGCAAUUUCAGUGGGUGCAUCAAAAGGUGUUCAAAGGCUAGGAAAUCAACUGCUAAUGGUGUUACAAAACACGAAAAUAAAGCUGCAUCUUCGAUUUGUAGGUUGCGUGAAGGUGUGGGUUUAGCACCAUGCAAUGCUGCUGAAUAUCGUGCAAUGAUAUUAGGAAUGAGAUAUGCUCUUAAAAAGGGAUUUUCUUUUAUCCGUAUCCAGGGCGACUCCAAGCUUGUUUGCAUGCAGUUCUCAUGCAUACAGGUUACUGUUGCCCAACAGCUUCUACACCUCUAAUAGCUAUACAAGAGUUGCGUGCAACCAUUCGUGUGCUACAAAUUAGUCUAGAUGUUGUUUAGGAAUUAGAUUAGAUUUUUUAUAACAUAGAAUUGUAAUUUUUUUAAAUGUUUAUUUUGAAAUUAGAAUUUGUUUUUUUUAAAUGUUUUAUUCAUGUUUUAUCAUGUACAUAAUUCAUAUAAAUCAAUG